ensembl:lncRNA
UUCUUACCUUCCAGACCUGGUCUAUGGUUCCAAAAGAGGCUCAGGGUACUGACAACAGGACACUUGAGGCAGAAUGAACCUUGAUCUAUAACCAGACUGUGAUUUCCUAAGCCUCUGAUGAGAACCUGAGGAUGAUGUGGAAAUUAUCCAAACACCACCUUCCACAGACUUAUGUAAUAAGGAAGCUCAGAGGGCCUGACCUGGGACACACACAAGGAUUCGUGAAGCAGAAGGUGACACCAGAAUCAACAGGCUUCUGUGACGCAGAUGGUGCUGUGCAUGCGUCCAUGUUCUGAACGCCACCCACAUGGGGCAGCAGAACACAGAGGGGCAUGCACAGCAACCUUGGACAGCCACAGAGAGGAGACAGAACCAGCCAGCCCCAGCCAGCCUUGAGGCAGUUACCUUGUGCACAUUACUUCACCUGGUGCCAAUGAAGUACAACUCAGCUCCUUCUGGAGACCAGGGAAGAUGGAGGUGUGGACAGGCGCCUGCUGGGUGUGUGGUCACAGAGAGCAGGAAUCUGAACAUCCACCUGCCUGACUCCAGAGCAGGUUCUGGGAUUGUGUCCUGGCAGCAGGCAGCACCCUGCCCACAUGGGCAGCCAUGGGGACAUCUGCCCCACAUCCUCAGUGACCAUCACCACCCCUUUCAGUUAUCCAUUCUGUUGCCACAGUUUGACCUUUAUGACACCUGCACUUCUGGAAUGUUCCAUCUAGGAGUCUGAAUUACUCACCCUACCCAGUCACCUUCCAAAGUAUGAACUCUGGACACCAGUUCCUGGGAGGCAAUGAUGUCGACUCCUGAGCUUUGAAGGAUGAGUACCUGAAGGAUCAGGGCAGACUCUUUAGCCUUCCAACACAGACCCUUCUGUCAUGGGAUCAUAGUGAACUCUGCAAGGAGCUCCAGGCCUUCAACUUUUGACUGGAUCACCCAACUCUACAGCAUGCAGAUGCCCAUUUUUCUAUGCCUGAUUCCACAGAUGGCCAUUAAACUUCAGAGGAAUUUUUGUGUGUGACAAGACAUCACAUAAACCAAAAUCAACCAUGAGGAGAUGAAGCUGGACAGAGAGCUCUGCUUCCUUGUGGACACCAGGGGACUCCAGGACCACAGCCUCAGACAGGAAGCCAAGAGCCCUGGCUGAAGGAGGAGUCCUGCACUGUCCUUCCGCUGUGGGCAAGACAAAGCCCUGGCCUCGAACUGCUUCAGACUACUCUGGAAGUAGCAUCCCAGGAGUCCUCUGUCCUCACCACACAUUCCAUUCACCUGGGCUGCAUGUUUUAAAAUUGCUUACAGCCCUACUCUUUCCUGGGCUGCAGAGACUACCCCACCCUGUAGGUGGCUAGUCUAAGGGGAUGCUAGGCAGUGGGGAUGGUCCCUAUCUUCGCCCUUCAGUGCCUCAGUCUUUCCCCAUGUGGCACUGAGGAGGUCUGGGGCCACUAGGAGCUACUGACAGUGUUACCUUCCCACCCUCAUUACUGUUCCAGUUUCUCAAGGUUGGACUCCUUGCACUUCUGUUCUCUGUUAGAUGUUAAUAUGCUUAGAGAAAAGAAACUGCAUGUUUUCUAG